rnacentral:lncRNA from 1 species
UCGGCAAUGGAGUCGUUCAUGUCGCUCAGGAAUCGAGGCGUCAGGUGGACGUACUCCCCCCGCUCACCGCACCCGCGUGGCUGCAGUGUGUACGGAGUGUCACGGUACUGCGGGUUCUGCGCGGCCACCCUCACGUCAGCCACCGGGAACAUGUUGGCCGCGGUCUUCGGUGCUUGCCCU